rnacentral:SRP_RNA from 1 species
CCGUGCUAGGCGGGGAGCUAGCGGUGCCCUGUACCCGCAAUCCGCUACAGCGGGGCUGAAUUCCUGCCUGAGGUUUACGGCCGGUUAGCUUGCCCUUAUUGAGGGGUGUUGAUAGUUGGGUUCCAUGCAACUGGCGGCUACGAACCCCGCCAGGUCCGGAAGGAAGCAACGGUAAGUAGCGUCGUCAGUGUGACAUGGAGUUGCCUGGCUGGAGCUCCCUGUACGGGCAAUCUACCGGUGUCGGAAUCGAGGGUAGGUGCACGG